UGAGGUCCUAGAUGACCCUUUGGAGG
rnacentral:piRNA from 1 species